rnacentral:rRNA from 1 species
AGUGAACGCUGGCGGUAGGCCUAACACAUGCAAGUCGAACGGCAGCACAGUAAGAGCUUGCUCUUACGGGUGGCGAGUGGCGGACGGGUGAGGAAUACAUCGGACUCUACUUUUUCGUGGGGGAUAACGUAGGGAAACUUACGCUAAUACCGCAUACGACCUACCGGGGAAAGCAGGGGAUCUUCGGACCUUGCGCGAUUGAAUGAGCCGAUGUCGGAUUAGCUAGUUGGCGUGGUAAAGGCCCACCAAGGCGACGAUCCGUAGCUGGUCUGAGAGGGUGAUCAGCCACACUGGAACUGAGACACGGUCCAGACUCCUACGGGAGGCAGCAGUGGGGAAUAUUGGACAAUGGGCGCAAGCCUGACCCAGCCAUACCGCGUGGGUGAAGAAGGCCUUCGGGUUGUAAAGCCCUUUUGUUGGGAAAGAAAAGCAGCAGGUUAAUACCUCGCUGUUCUGACGGUACCCAAAGAAUAAGCACCGGCUAACUUCGUG